CAGCAGCCGCGGUAAUACGAAGGGGGCUAGCGUUGCUCGGAAUGACUGGGCGUAAAGGGCGCGUAGGCGGUUUUGACAGUCAGAUGUGAAAUUCCUGGGCUUAACCUGGGAACUGCGCUUGUGACUGCACAGCUAGAGUAUGGCAGAGGGGGGUGGAAUUCCACGUGUAGCAGUGAAAUGCGUAGAGAUGUGGAGGAACACCGAUGGCGAAGGCAGCCCCCUGGGCCAAUACUGACGCUGAGACUCGAAAGCGUGGGGAGCAAACAGGAUUAGAUACCCGGGUAGUCCCUGUCUCUUAUAC
rnacentral:rRNA from 1 species